GACAGAGGCCUCAAGCGUUAGGCGGAAUCACUGGGCUUAAAGCGUGUGUAGGCGGAUCGUUAAGUGUCUUGUGAAAUCCCACGGCUCACCCGUGGAACUGCUGGGCAUACUGGCGAUCUUGGGCCAACUAGGGGCAACUGGAACAAGCGGUGGAGCGGUGAAAUGCGUAGAUAUCGCUUGGAACGCCAACGGUGAAAACAGGGUUGCUGGGGGUUGUGCCGACGCU
rnacentral:rRNA from 1 species